CCUACCUAUAAGACUGGGAUAACUUCGGGAAACCGGAGCUAAUACCGGAUAAUAUAUUGAACCGCAUGGUUCAAUGGUGAAAGACGGUUUUGCUGUCACUUAUAGAUGGAUCCGCGCUGCAUUAGCUAGUUGGUAAGGUAACGGCUUACCAAGGCAACGAUGCGUAGCCGACCUGAGAGGGUGAUCGGCCACACUGGAACUGAGACACGGUCCAGACUCCUACGGGAGGCAGCAGGC
rnacentral:rRNA from 1 species